CCUGGCCUAGAGGCCGGCUCGACCGCGCACGGUUCGGGACCGUGAGGCCCCGGGUUCAAAUCCCGGGCCCCCGACCA
rnacentral:tRNA from 1 species